rnacentral:rRNA from 1 species
UACAGAGGUCUCAAGCGUUAAUCGGAAUUACUGGGCUUAAAGGGUCCGCAGGCGGACCAGCAAGUACCUUGUGAAAUCUCAGGGCUCAACCCUGAGUCUGCUAGGUAGACUGCUGGUCUUGAGUGCAAAAGGGGUCGCUGGAACUCUAGGUGGAGCGGUGAAAUGCGUAGAUAUCUAGAGGAACGCCAAAGGUGAAGACAGGCGACUGGUUUGCAACUGACGCUCAUGGACGAAAGCGUGGGGAUCAAACGGG